rnacentral:rRNA from 1 species
GACGAACGCUGGCGGCGUGCCUAAUACAUGCAAGUAGAACGCACAGUUUAUACCGUAGCUUGCUACACCAUAGACUGUGAGUUGCGAACGGGUGAGUAACGCGUAGGUAACCUGCCUGGUAGCGGGGGAUAACUAUUGGAAACGAUAGCUAAUACCGCAUAAUAUUGAUUAUUGCAUGAUAAUUAAUUGAAAGGUGCAAUUGCACCACUACCAGAUGGACCUGCGUUGUAUUAGCUAGUAGGUGAGGUAACGGCUCACCUAGGCGACGAUACAUAGCCGACCUGAGAGGGUGAUCGGCCACACUGGGACUGAGACACGGCCCAGACUCCUGCGGGGGGCAGCAGUAGGGAAUCGUCGGCAAUGGACGAAAGUCUGACCGAGCAACGCCGCGUGAGUGAAGAAGGUUUUCGGAUCGUAAAGCUCUGUUGUAAGAGAAGAACGGGUGUGAGAGUGGAAAGUUCACGCUGUGACGGUAUCUUACCAGAAAGGGACGGCUAACUACGUG